rnacentral:rRNA from 1 species
UACGUAGGGGGCUAGCGUUGUCCGGAAUCAUUGGGCGUAAAGAGCGUGUAGGCGGUCCGGUAAGUCCGCUGUGAAAGUCGGGGGCUCAACCCUCGAAUGCCGGUGGAUACUGUCGGGCUAGAGUACGGAAGAGGCGAGUGGAAUUCCUGGUGUAGCGGUGAAAUGCGCAGAUAUCGGGAGGAACACCGGUGGCGAAGGCGGUUCUCUGGGCCUUACCUGACGCUGAGGAGCGAAGCGUGGGAGCGAACAGG